rnacentral:ncRNA from 2 species
GGACGACCUGGAGAGGUCUGUUGCCUGAAUGAGAGUCACUGAGUUUACACUGCAGGAGAGCAGCUCCCAAGACCAAGGCCCUGCGAUUCCCAGAGGCCGUCGGACUGCCGCAUCCCUUGGCGUGAACGGUGGGCGUGGAGAAGGACCCAGAGUCUGGAGCCUACAUCCUGGAGGACUGUGGCCCUGAACUUUGGUUAAACACAAACAAGCCCCAAGAAAAGGGAAAGCGAAAACCAGAGGCACUGGAGGAAUCACAACAAAAAGCACCUUGAGAAGCACCUACAAGACAGCAGCGCAGCGUGGCCAGCUCCCUGCCUCAAGCACCAGGCAGGCUAACCCAGGUUCCGAGAGGGGGCAGGUCAACACUGGAUAAAAUAAACUCCAGGAGGCCGGG